GCUUGCUCCUGGAUUCAGCGGCGGACGGGUGAGAAAGCCUAGGAAUCUGCCUGGUAGUGGGGGAUAACGUCCGGAAACGGGCGCUAAUACCGCAUACGUCCUGAGGGAGAAAGUGGGGGAUCUUCGGACCUCACGCUAUCAGAUGAGCCUAGGUCGGAUUAGCUAGUUGGUGGGGUAAAGGCCUACCAAGGCGACGAUCCGUAACUGGUCUGAGAGGAUGAUCAGUCACACUGGAACUGAGACACGGUCCAGACUCCUACGGGAGGCAGCAGUGGGGAAUAUUGGACAAUGGGCGAAAGCCUGAUCCAGCCAUGCCGCGUGUGUGAAGAAGGUCUUCGGAUUGUAAAGCACUUUAAGUUGGGAGGAAGGGCAGUAAGUUAAUACCUUGCUGUUUUGACGUUUUUUUUCUGAAUAAGCACCGGCUAACUUCGUGCCAGCAGCCGCGGUAAUACGAAGGGUGCAAGCGUUAAUCGGAAUUACUGGGCGUAAAGCGCGCGUAGGUGGUUCAGCAAGUUGGAUGUGAAAUCCCCGGGCUCAACCUGGGGAACUGCAUCCAAAACUACUGAGCUAGAGUACGGUAGAGGGUGGUGGAAUUUCCUGUGUAGCGGUGAAAUGCGUAGAUAUAGGAAGGAACACCAGUGGCGAAAGCGACCACCUGGGACUGAUACUGACACUGAGGUGCGAAAGCGUGGGGAGCAAACAGGAUUAG
rnacentral:rRNA from 1 species